ensembl:lncRNA
UAGCUAACGGUUUGAUUCUCAUUGUUAUUACUUAAACUUAAACAUUUUAACCUCUUUUGUGUCUGUGGGGCUGAAGAGGAACCUUUGCUAUCACAAUACUGAAUAUAACUAAAGGUAAUUCAGCUUUGUUGAUUGAUUGAACGACUACAUUUUGUAUGCUAAGCUAAGCUAACCCUGUCCUGACUUAAGCCUAGUUUAUGCUUCUGCGUUUUCAGAGCGACGCAAGGAAACGCAGACGUAAGAGCCCCUCGUGUGUCCCGCAGCGCACAAGGCUGCGAUUGGUCCGCUAAACACGUCCUUUACGGAGUCUCACGUUUCCGUUUUCAUAGCCCGAUACCGCCAUUAUUAAAACGAAGAAUGUUUACGAGAGAACGGAUCAGAUUUAAAUACUUUGGUCGGAAGAAAUGCGUAAAUAUGACUGCUUAUACAAGCCGUCAUUGGCGGACUAUAAGGACGCGCGGAUGGCCUCUGAUUCAUGGAGGGAGAUCUCCGCAAACGUCGGUUUGCCGGUCGAGAAGUGCACAAAGUUGUGGAGGAAAAUACGGGACAAAUGUGUCCACGAUGUAUAGCAGCAGUGGCGAUGCACAGGGCAACAAAGUCUAUGAUAAAUAAAGAAAGAAACACACGACUUCCACACACAAGGACGUGACUCUCCAGGUCGUCUUCAACAAAAACACGUUACUCCACCUGUUGUUCUGGCGGUGAAUUGCUCUGCAACGCACGCAAGACUUUCAGAACCAUGAAUUAAAACGAGUGCGUCGACACAACGAUGCGGAAAGACGCAGAAGCACGCGCCAGCCUUUAAUAUGCAACAAACUGAGUUAUUAUCUAACUGUCAACUAAAAAAUAGAGUAUUUACCAAAGUUAUUCAUAUAACAAAAACGUGUCAAACAGAAGGAGGGUGAGUGACAAACGUAACACUUAAAGCACUGCUAAGUUAAGCUAGCUGCUAGGCUAAGCUAGCUGCUAGGCUACUUCCAUCUUAACAUCUAACGGUAAUGUCACCCUGCGCAGCACACAGUCUGCAGAGGACCACCACUGUGUCCCUAAAAGACUUCUUAUCUGUCGACUGAAAAAUAGAAUACUUUUCAAAGAAUGAAAGCAACCUAAACCUAAAAGCUUACAGGUUCCUGAUGUUAAAGGUUGAGCCUUUUGCCAACAAGUGUUUCAUUUUUAGGGAAAUACUCGCAGAAAACUGGGAUGACCAAAACCAAGAGUUGCAUUCAUCAGUAAAGAGAAAUGCAAUUUAAUGACCAGUGCUUUCAUGAGGGAGGCUGAAACACGUCUCAUCUUAAACACCAAAAGUCUUUGUAUCACACUCGUAUAUUAUCAUUCCUGACAGCUACUGUCUCCUGAGAUAGUUAACACUGUGAGUCCUUCUCAUGACCACUCAAGCAUCUAUUCAUGAAAGGCCUUCAUCUGAUGUCACGUUUAAUGUCUUUUCUGAAAUCAUUCUUUUAUUUUAUUUGUAGUUCUAUAAAGUUCUAGUUGGCCUUUGCUUCCCUGUAUAGACGGAGGGACCAAGCUGUUCAUUUGAAACGUAAAUGCUUUACGAGGAGCAAAGUUUUGAUCGUUGUCAUCACUCAGGGACCAGCUGGGAAAACUUGUAGUGGAACAAAAAGUGUGAGAACGUGAAGGAUCAUCUGUCCACCACUGUUUCCUCUACGCAGCUAUGUUCAAAUCAAAGCAGGUCACAUGUGACGGAGCAGUGUCAUCACCAGGACUCAUAUGCUUGGAAGUAGCUGAUAAGGAGAAUAAUCAAUCAAAUCACAGAUCGAGUUCUCUGUCCAUCUCCCUCGAUGAGAUUAUGAUCUGCAGACAGAGACAGAAAGAAACACAGAGAAGAAGGAGAUGUGUCACCAAAUGGCUUCAACCACCUAAGUGUCAGAACUGUGGGAUUAAACGUGACUUGAAAUGGCGUCUUGUCGGGCUUCUAGUGACGCGUUAGUGUCCAGUAGAGCAGAGGACGGGCCGAUCGAGGUCCUGUGAGGAGCCUACAAGACACAACGCAGAGGGGGGACUGUGCUUCUUCUUACCGUGGGGGAGGAGGAGGAGAAGGAGGAAGAGGAGGAGGACCGGGCUGUAAUAAAGACAUCAGAAACAUUUCAGACCCACCUAUUAGCUGGAAACAGAUGGAAAGGUUUAAAUUGUUAAUAAAUCCGUUCUUACCCUGACUCCCAUCACGCUACAGGCUCCUGCUCUCCUUCUGCAGCUGGAACGUUUAUUCCGUUUGUUUCCAGACAUUUUCAUGUUGCCCUCCUUCACGUUCACCACAUAUAUAACAAUGUGCAAAUGUCAUCUCGGAGUCGUCGUGGCGCAGGGGUUAGAGAAGGUGUGCUGGGAAGCACAAGGUUGGUGGUUCGAUUCCAGGCUGCCCCUUGUUCCAUGUCGAAGUGUCCCUGAGCAAGACACCUAACCCCUAAUUGCUCCCCGGGCAAAAAUGUGAAAAAAGCCAUGGGUUUAAAGUGUAAUGUAAGUCGCUUUGGAUAAAAGCGUCUGCUAAAUGACACGUAAUGUAAUGUAAUCUCCAAACAAACUGAUGAUCUCCAAACUGAACAAAAUCUUUGAGCAAUACAGUCAUUUAGAUUACAUCAUGCAUAGUUAGUAGUUAAUAUAACAGGCCUCCUUACUGGGUGCCUAUAGGGAAAUAUGUAAAGAAAGCUAAGUGAGCCUAAAGCGAAGAGGAGGUUGGAGGCUGAGUUGGGUAGAAGGACAUGAUAAUAAACUACAGUGAAAGAGUGUUUUUUUAAUUAACUGAUCAUCUGCAUACGAGAAGCUCAUUGGAGUCGAUGUGCUCACCUGAGCAGCAGGCUGCAGAGGAUCGAUCCGUGUGGAGUCUGCAUCAGCAGAUGGGAAGGCUGUGAUGAGCAGGAAGAUCUGCAGAGACAACAGGACCAGCAGCACACUCUUCUUCAUAGCGUGUGAAGUGGAGAGUCGGAUACACACUUUAUAUAC